rnacentral:lncRNA from 1 species
CGGGAAGCUGGACUGGUUCGGGUCGUUCGCGCAGACCGCGUCAAUCAGCUGCACCUGCGACGGCUUACCCGAGUGCCGCAUCAUGGGCUGUGUUCCUCGCUGGCUCGACGGCUCGCACCAACUUGAUUUGUGAGUUGUGCGUAGGUUGAUGUGUGCUUUGCUGUUCUUGUGUUUUUGCUGACACUGAAACUGAAACACGGUGCACACCAAACUUCAAAGCAAGUACACGAGAGCAACAACACAGCUUUUAAGAACAGGUGCACAUGCGUCCACAUUCUACAGUCUUCGCAUCAUUUGCACUCCUUUGACAUCUUUUUCAGAAGCACCGAACGAUAGAUCAACCUCUACAUCCUUUAAUCAAUGUUCAGAUAGUUUACAUCCUUUGCACAUCGCAAUUCACCGGACAAUUUCAUUGCAGGGGCCGUUGGGUUGCAGUUACAAGGGAGCGCUGAAAUUUCUCAUUUCUCAACAUACUCAAUCAUAGCUAACUACUGGGAUAGGAUUCAUCAUGUGUUCCCAGGUAAUCUACAAAACUUGCCUGGAAGUAGUAUGUAUUUUGCCUACAACACGCAACAGGACUUACUUCUGAAUUUUUUUUCCUAUUUCCCCCACCCAGGACUUCAUGCAAUCUACACACUGAGAAAACAAAAUCAUGCCCAGGCAAAAAAGCUUUAUCACUUACUUCUCAGGUACAAUUCGGACGAAAAAAAAACUUCAUUGUGAUCACCCAGGGAUUAGCCUGGUGCCUGCAAAAAGCUUUAUGUGGUUUGCCUACAUCACAAAAACAAUUUGCCUAAAGACUUGCUAAACUUUGCUUAACAGUUCUUGUCCCAAAAAGCAGGAGAUUUUUUUUUGCUUUCUUGCUGAUUGCACUGAAUUUGCCCCAAAAAAUGGCACCAACAACUUGUUGUGUUUUUUUAUUACAAAUCAAAGUAGCCUGCGAAAAAACACAAACUUUUUGCCUGAUGAUUACACUUAAUUUGCCCCAAAACACACAAAUGUCACUUGCCUAUAUUUUUUGUUCUAGACAAAUGCAAUCUAAUAUGCAUGGAGGGAAGAUGCAUUCAUAACAACACAACAUUUACUCUUCAUGUUAUUUAUUUUGAAAGCCAACACUGCGCAAAGUCGUUUUCUCAGGUAAGCUAGAUCAUGUACGUGCCAUUUUGGAUUUCGCCCAUUACUACUGCUUCUGACUCAAUCCUUUGCAUGAAUGUGCAAUUCUCCAUAGCUCGAAGUCCACAAGGUGCUCACCACUGGCGGAGCUGCGUUCUGCUUUUGGAACACCAAAUUUUCUCUUUCA